GAGGGGCUACCUUGGUUUUGAAUAAAUAGUUUUGGUCAUUACGUGGAAAUUGGCCAAGAUGCAGGUCGAGAGGCAUCUCGUUAGGCGUCUGGACCUUUAAAGCGGAGUGGUUACAGGGUUAUUUUGUUAUGCUAUGAUGUGUAUAUAUGUACUUGGUUUUCUCUCCGCAUAACUUGUUC